AAAUCAUAAUGAGGACAUCUCCUCAAAAGUUAUCGAAACCACUCCCAUGUCUCGAAUAAGGAUUCUGCUUCAUGUUGUUAGAAGCAACAUAUCUCUGUCAUAAGCUU